CUUCCCUCCCCCCAAAUUCCGUGUGUCAUGGGGUGGAGGCAGUGGUGUGUUUAUCAGGGUGGCUGGCACAAUUCACAGCCACAAUCAUGGGGGUCUAGCGAGCUGUGGAAGGCAGCUCAGUGGGCAGCGAGGCCCUGGCAGAGUUGCCCGGCUGCCCCAGCCCAGCGUUGCCCUCCUGGGCAGUCUAAUCCAAUGUGAAAUGAAGUUUCCUGGGAAGCAGGGCACACGAGGAACUUUUGAAUUUACCAAUGGCAUAAAAAGUAUAUAUAUUUUUAUGACAACGGGCAAGUUUCAAUUGGUUGGCAGAAAUGGCGAGAUGUGACGUCAAGGGACACUGGUUAGAAUGCCAAGGCCGGCGGCGGGGGGUUGGGGGGAGACAGGCACAGACAGACAUUGGGUUGGGACCCGGGAGGCCUUGUUUCUCUCGGGCCCUGGCCGCCAAAGGGCCGUCGCAGGCGUCUGGGGACAUCAGCUCCAUGCGGCUCUGGGCCAGGGCAUGCUCGGGCAGGGGGACGGGGUCUGCGAAUAGUGACUCUGUGUCCGCGUGCGUCCCCGAGAGCCGGAGGCCCAGGCCGGCCCCUCUGCGGUUUGGGAACCACUCAGGCGCCUCUGUGGAGCGGGCGGGAAAAGACGCCGCGGCCUCCUUGGCAUUCUAACCCGUGUCCGGACCCUAGAGGCCGGCCGGUCUCAACCACCGGGAGGGCCUGGGAGGGAACCGUGUGGCCCGGGGCCAGCAGUGUCGCCAUCGGGCUCCGAGAGAGCAAAGCUGUGGCCUUGAACUUCUCCCCGAAGCUCCUGUGCCCUGAGUCGGGGAAGCAGGAAGUUGUUGCCACCGGGAAGGAAGAGAGCGCGCUCGGAGCUGGGCAGCGGCUCCAGGCACCGCGCCCCUGCCCAUCCCACGCCUCCCCGGGCACCGUGAACCACCCCCCAACCCAACUCCUCCAGGCACCUUGCGCGCCCCUCUUACAUCUCCCGGCACUGUGCGCUGACCCCUGCCUCCGCCGGCCGGCUCCCGUGUGCCGAGUCCGGACUCCCACCCCUCUGGGCACCCCUUGCUCCGCGGGGCCGGCGGUGUCCUGGAAGCCGCCGCGGGGUUGCCCGUGCGCGCGCUCCGCCCUGGG
rnacentral:lncRNA from 1 species